CUGGGCCGAGCUCGAGGCCGCGCCGGGGCCAUCACGACACGAGCAAGGCACGCCGGCGGCACGCCGGGGCGGUCGGGCGAACACGGGCGACGGCGAGGGCGGCCGGGCCGGGCGCGGGGCUCGCCGGGGACGAGCACGGCGAGGGCGGCCGAGCCGGGCGCGGGCGCCAUGGCCGGGGAUGGGCGGGGCGGCUCGCCGGAGAGGCGGACGAGCACGAGGGCGGGCGGGUCGCCGGGGGGCGGCCGAGCCGGGGCACGGCGGGGCCGGCGAGGGGGCGGCCGAGGUCGGGGACGGGGGCGGCUCACCGGACGCGGUCGAGGCGAGGGCGGGGAAGGGGCGGGGCGGCUCGCCGGAAGGGGCCGAGCACGGGGCGGCCGAGCCGAGGCGCGGCGGGGCGGGGCUGAGCUCGCCGGGUGGAGGCUGAGCCGGGACCGAGCGGGGUCGGGGCAGAGUGGGGCGGCUCGCCGGAGGGGUGACCGAGCGGACAGGGCGGGGCGGCCUUGCCGCGGCGAGGGGCGGGCGCGGGCCCGAGGUGGCGCGCCGGGGAGCGGCGCCAGCGGGGGGGAAGGGGGAAGGGAGAGGAGGGGGGGCCUCACCGAGGUGGGGGUGGCCGGCGGCGGUGCUGGGGAAGGGGCGGCGGUGGAGGAUACGGGCGGGGGGGGGGGGGGUAGACGGGGCGUCUGGGGGGUAGACGAUCGUGUCGCGGACGCGACAGGGCGCUAUGCGUCACGUCGCGGGCACGAUGAGCUACGCCAAGGCGCUGCGCGGGCACGCCCACGCGCAAAGCCACGCUUAACGUGCCGCGAACGAGUCGCGCACGCGUCGGGGCCGCGCGCUGGCCGAGCUCGAGGCCGCGGCAGGGCCAUCACGACACGAGCAAGGCACGCCGGUGGUACGCCGGGGCGGGCGGGCGAACACGGGCGAUGGCGAGGGCGGCCGGGCCGGGCGCGGGGCUCGCCAGGGACGAGCGCGGCGGGGGCGGCCGAGCCGGGCGUGGGCGCCAUGGCCGGGGAUGGGCGGGGCGGCUCGCCGGAGAGGCGGCCGAGCACGGGGGCGGGCGGGUCGCCGGGGGGCGGCCUAGCCAGGGCACGGGGCGGGCGGGCUCGCCGGGGGGCGGCCGAGCUGGGGCACGGCGGGGCCGGCGAGGGGGCGGCCGAGGUCGAGGACGGGGGCGGCUCGCCGGACGCGGCCAAGGCGAGGGCGGGGAAGGGGCGGGGCGGCUCACCGGAAGGGGCCAAGCACGGGGCGGCCGAGCCGUGGCGCGGCGGGGCGGGGCCGAGCUCGCUGGGGGGCGGCCGAGCCGGGACCGGGCGGGGUCGGGGCGGAGCGGGGCGGCUCGCCGGAGGGGCGGCCGAGCUGGGGCGCCGAGCGGACGGGGCGGGGCGGCCUUGCCUCGGCGAGGGGCGGGCGCGGGCCCGGGGUGGCGCGCCGGGGAGCGGCGCCGACGGGGGGAAGGGGGAAGGGAGAGGAGGGGGCUCACCGAGGUGGGGGCGGCCGGCGGCGGCGGCGCUAGGGCGGCGACGGCGGUUAGGGUUAGGGAGAGGGAGAGAGGGAGGGAGGAUGACGGGCGGGGCCCGCGGGGAGGGAAAUUUUGGAAAAAAGGGGGGAGGGGGCGGCUGGGCCGCUUGGGCCCAAAGGAAGGGGGCGGGCGCGGUUGGGCCGGCCGGGACGGCCCACGGCGGGGGGAAGGGAAGGGGGGCGGCUGGGCCGACUGGUGCUCUGCAGCAGCCACCCAUGUCCACCAAUGGCUGCAGCAAGCACCCCUUUAAAACAGCAGCUCCACCUCCCUGCUCCUCCUCACACGCCAGCACAGGAACUCCUCCAGCCCUUUGGCUCGACGCCCGCAUGGAUGGAUGCCUGGUGCCUUUCCCGACAGCGCUCGGCGCCCUGCUCACCUGGAGCUUAGCCAUGGCCGACCUCCGUUUCUUCCCUGGUCGGCCCUCACGUCCACUCAGCUCCCAUGGCGCUUGGCGCCCUCUAUUCUUCCACUCCCAUGCCAUCCCCCUCCUAGCUCGGCUCUACCCUCCCUCUCCCCAUGGGACAGCCGUGCUCCUCCCUGCGUUAUGGCUGUGCAUACGUGCUGUAUUGGAGGUUGAAGAAGACCCCCUCAAGUCUAUGACAUGUGGGCCCAGUGGCUAG
rnacentral:misc_RNA from 1 species